rnacentral:rRNA from 1 species
GACGAACGCUGGCGGCGUGCUUAACACAUGCAAGUCGAGCGGUAAGGCCCUUUCGGGGGUACACGAGCGGCGAACGGGUGAGUAACACGUGGGUGACCUGCCCUCAGCUCUGGGAUAAGCCUGGGAAACCGGGUCUAAUACUGGAUAUGACUCCAUGACGCAUGUUGUGGGGUGGAAAGCCUUGUGCGGCUGAGGAUGGGCCCGCGGCCUAUCAGCUUGUUGGUGGGGUGANGGCCUACCAAGGCGACGACGGGUAGCCGGCCUGAGAGGGCGACCGGCCACACUGGGACUGAGACACGGCCCAGACUCCUACGGGAGGGCAGCAGUGGGGAAUCUUGCGCAAUGGGCGAAAGCCUGACGCAGCGACGCCGCGUGA